GACGAACGCUGGCGGCGUGCCUAAUACAUGCAAGUUGAGCGAUGAAGAUUGGUGCUUGCCCCAAUUUGAAGAGCAGCGAACGGGUGAGUAACGCGUGGGGAAUCUGCCUUUGAGCGGGGGACAACAUUUGGAAACGAAUGCUAAUACCGCAUAACAACUUUAAACAUAAGUUUUAAGUUUGAAAGAUGCAAUUGCAUCACUCAAAGAUGAUCCCGCGUUGUAUUAGCUAGUUGGUGAGGUAAAGGCUCACCAAGGCGAUGAUACAUAGCCGACCUGAGAGGGUGAUCGGCCACAUUGGGACUGAGACACGGCCCAAACCCCUACGGGAGGCAGCAGUAGGGAACCUUCGGCAAUGGACGAAAGUCUGACCGAGCAACGCCGCGUGAGGGAAGAAGGUUGUCGGAUCGUAAAACUCUGUUGGUAGAGAAGAACGUUGGUGAGAGUGGAAAGCUCAUCAAGUGACGGUAACUACCCAGAAAGGGACGGCUAACUACGUG
rnacentral:rRNA from 1 species